rnacentral:tRNA from 1 species
GUUUAAAUAGUUUAAAAAAAAUUUGGGUUUGUGGUACCCAAGAUGUAAAUUAUUACUUUAGACU